rnacentral:rRNA from 1 species
AUGAAUUGCCUUAGUUGGAACUGCCGGGGAGGGGGGAACACCAUAGUUCGUGAGCUAGCGAUGUUGUGUAAGUUGCGUUCCCCCAUGUUGGUCUUUUUGUGUGAAACGAGACAAAAGGAAGAGAAGAGGAAACGGAUCCGAGCUAAACUUGGAUUGAAGGGCUUUUGUGGAGUGGAUAGUAAUGGAUUAAGCGGUGGCUUGGCACUAUAU